UGGGGUGGCUGGGUGAAUGAAUGAUGGAUAUUGUUCUGGAGGUGACCUAAGCAGCCGGGAAUGUGGCAGCAGGGGGCUUUAAUGAGCCAUUCAUCAAUGACUCCUUCCUCCAACCCAAAGAGGUAAACCCUGUCUACUCUGGGGCAGUACUGAAUCCGAAGCAAACAUCUUAAGACAGAGCAACCAAGUGGCAUUCCAGUGGGCACAGUGAUGAUAAGGCUAAAAGCUGAAGCAAUCUGCCACAGUCACACAGCUGGGAGGCGUCAGGGUCAGGAUCCACACGUCUCCUAACCAACCUCAAGUCUGGCUGAGACUGCUUUCUGUUUCUGGUUGUUGCCGUGUCGGGCCCCACGUGAGGUACCUCACAUAUUUUCUCUCAUCCGAUCCACUCUAACGAAGACACAAAACCAAAUGCAGUCCCGGAGGCCCUUGGCCAAUGCCAUCCUCCGCCAGCACCAGAGGCCCAGCGCUGGGCCGCAGGGCAUUGAUGCUCAACUCCGUGAGGACAGCUGGCUACUGUGGCUGGAAGUGACCCAGGGGAGGACUUCUUAGGACCUUCCAGAGCACACAGCUUACAACAGGGCCAGCUUUUAGAUGGGACUCAACUGGCCUGCAGAGACGGCCUGGUCUUGGGGAGUGACAGUACCCUCCUUCUCAGAGGAUGGCUUGCGGGCAAUCAAUCUCUACCCCUAACACCAAGCAGAGGCACUGUCCCACAAGAGACAUUAAAACAAGUGAUGGGUGGAGAGGUGGCUGAUGGGCUGGCUAUUUGUCUGUUCAUUCAAUAGAUAUUUAUUUACUGAGCACCUGUAUCUGGCAGACCCUGUCCCAUGAUACAGCAGUGGACAAAACAGAUCCAGCCUCUGUUCUCAAGGCCCUCACAGUCUCACGGUGAGCAGAGAGAGCAAAGGUUGGUUCAGCCUAGAAGGAUAAGUAGAGGUAAUAGACAUGCCCCUAAGAGAGGGACCGAACCUUAGGCUGGAGGGGUCAGGUACGACUUCCCAACAAAGAGGAGUAUAAACUUAGAUCUAAAGAAUGAAAAAAAGGGGCGCC